rnacentral:rRNA from 1 species
GAUGAACGCUGGCGGCGUGCCUAAUACAUGCAAGUCGAGCGAACAGACGAGGAGCUUGCUCCUCUGACGUUAGCGGCGGACGGGUGUGUAACACGUGGAUAACCUACCUAUAAGACUGGGAUAACUUCGGGAAACCGGAGCUAAUACCGGAUAAUAUAUUGAACCGCAUGGUUCAAUAGUGAAAGACGGUUUUGCUGUCACUUAUAGAUGGAUCCGCGCCGCAUUAGCUAGUUGGUAAGGUAACGGCUUACCAAGGCAACGAUGCGUAGCCGACCUGAGAGGGUGAACGGCCACACUGGAACUGAGACACGGUCCAGACUCCUACGGGAGGCAGCAGUAGGGAAUCUUCCGCAAUGGGCGAAAGCCUGACGGAGCAACGCCGCGUGAGUGAUGAAGGUCUUCGGAUCGUAAAACUCUGUUAUUAGGGAAGAACAAAUGUGUAAGUAACUAUGCACGUCUUGGCGGUACCUAAUCAGAAAGCCACGGCUAACUACGUG